rnacentral:rRNA from 1 species
UUCCGGUUGAUCCUGCCAGACCCGACUGCUAUCAGAGUAGGACUAAGCCAUGCGAGUCAACGUAUGAAUAAUACGUGGCGAACGGCUCAGUAACACGUAGUCAACAUGCCCAAAGGACGUGGAUAACCUCGGGAAACUGAGGAUAAACCGCGAUAGGUCACAAUUACUGGAAUGUGUUAUGGCUCAAAUCUAUAUGGCCUUUGGAUUGGACUGCGGCCGAUCAGGCUGUUGGUGAGGUAAUGGCCCACCAAACCUGUAACCGGUACGGGCUCUGAGAGGAGGAGCCCGGAGAUGGGCACUGAGACAAGGGCCCAGGCCCUAUGGGGCGCAGCAGGCGCGAAACCCUCUGCAUGGGCGAAAGCCUGACAGGNUUACUCUGAGUGAUUU